rnacentral:rRNA from 1 species
GACGAACGCUGGCGGCGUGCCUAAUACAUGCAAGUCGAACGCAGUGGGGACGGUUGCGUAACACGUGGGUAACCUCCCAUCAGAGGGGAUAACCCUUGGAAAAAGGUGCUAAACCGAUACUGAUUGAUGGAGCCGCGGUGCAUUAGCUAGUUGGUGAGGUAACGGCUCACCAAGUCCACGAUGCAUAGCCGGCCUGAGAGGGUGAUCAGCCACACUGGGACUGAGACACGGUCCAGACUCCUACGGGAGGCAGCAGUAGGGAAUAGUCGGCAAUGGACGAAAGCCUGAUGGAGCCACGCCGCGUGAAUGAAGAAGGGUUUCGGAUCGUAAAACUCUGUCGGUAGAGAAGCGGUACCUAACCAGAAAGCCACGGCUAACUACGUGCCAGCAGCCGCGGUAAUAC